UAUUGAUGAUGUGUGGCAAAUGCCAAUUAAAU
rnacentral:piRNA from 1 species